UCUCAACUCUCUUGGCUCUAUCUCUCUCUUCAGCCCUUCUCUCUCCCUCGUGUAACUCUCUCUCUCUCUCCGACGCAAUCGUCUUUCUCCCUCAGCGGUGGCUAUUCAUCCAAGCUUAACUCAACGGUUCACAUCCACGAGGCCACAAUUAAGUAAGAGAAAAUCCAUUAUUUGUGCGCAGUCAAACCCAAAUCCUUUUCUAUCUCUCUGCCUCCUCUGGCUCUGUUUCAGAAACCUGGACAAUCCAUCCUGACGCUGCGUGUGUGAUGAACUGCUUGUCGUUGUCGCACUUUUCACGCAACCGCCAUUUUCAGAACGAAGGGUCGUUUCGUGGCGACGAGUUUUCUGUACAGACCUUGUUCGUGGAAAAGAAAAUUGGACCUUUCGUGUGGGGUUAAGUGCAUCAACUUAGAAUCAACGAGAUUCCAUAUUCAGCUCUGCUGAUCUCGAAGCAAAGCCAGCAGCAGCAUCAGCAGGAAGACGACAUAGUCUCGUUCACGGAGGAAGCCAGAAGCUGAACCGGUUGUGGAGCUGGCAAAAGAUGCCUUCUAUGUAGUGCGCAAAGGAGAUAUUGUUGGUGUUUAUAAGAGUUUCGGCGAUUGUCAGGCUCAGCUUAGUUCUUCGAUAUUUGAUCCUCCUGUUAGUGUGUACAAAGGGUACUCUUUGCCUACGGACAUGGAAGAAUAUUCAUGUGGACUUACGAAUGCCAUUUACACAAUCGCUGCUGCAGAUUUGAAGGACGAUAUUUUCGGCAAGCUUAUGCAUUGCCCUUUUCAAAUCCAGGAUCUUUGCAAGGUGAAGCAUCUGUCAUGGAUGCACUCAAAAAGAGAUCCCAUGAAGUGCCAGCAUCAGAUAAUUUUGGAAGUAAUUGGUUCAUCUUCCUUUUUCAGAUGAUCCAUUGAGAAAGCAUGUCCAGAUAGAUCAUUCCACUCAAUCAUUACCCUUAGAUUCUGAAUUGGAAAAUCCUCUAAUCAUAAUCCAUGAGAAGAAAAUCUCAAGUAUUAAUGAUGUGGUUAAAGUAUUGGAGUUGGUUUUGCAGUUAUGAUUUCAGAUCUGUAGAUAACCUGUUGUUGCUGAUAUUGCUACACGGGAGGAGAACAGAACAACUUGGAAAAUGUGCAAGAAGGGAGAGCUAACUCAUACAACGAAGAACAAAUUGAUGAAGUUAAGAUCAAAUUAGUAGAAUUUGUGAGCUCUCCAUUAUUUAUAAUUAUAGGUAGGAAGUAUGUAUGUAAUAGAGCAAAGAUUGGUUGACUAUGUAAUAACAAUUGAAUUGUCAAGUUUUAUGAAAGAAAUAAUUUUUGCUUCUUGGGA